rnacentral:ncRNA from 1 species
AUUCUGGUUGAUCCUGCCAGUAGUUAUAUGCUUGUCUCAAAGAUUAAGCCAUGCAUGUCUAAGUACACACGAAUUAAAAGUGAAACCGCAAAAGGCUCAUUAUAUCAGUUAUGGUUCCUUAGAUCGUUAACAGUUACUUGGAUAACUGUGGUAAUUCUAGAGCUAAUACAUGCAAUUAAAACAUGAACCUUAUGGGACAUGUGCUUUUAUUAGGCUAAAACCAAGCGAUCGCAAGAUCGUUAUAUUGGUUGAACUCUAGAUAACAUGCAGAUCGUAUGGUCUUGUACCGACGACAGAUCUUUCAAAUGUCUGCCCUAUCAACUUUUGAUGGUAGUAUCUAGGACUACCAUGGUUGCAACGGGUAACGGGGAAUCAGGGUUCGAUUCCGGAGAGGGAGCCUGAGAAACGGCUACCACAUCUAAGGAAGGCAGCAGGCGCGUAAAUUACCCACUCCCAGCUCGGGGAGGUAGUGACGAAAAAUAACAAUACAGGACUCAUAUCCGAGGCCCUGUAAUUGGAAUGAGUACACUUUAAAUCCUUUAACAAGGACCAAUUGGAGGGCAAGUCUGGUGCCAGCAGCCGCGGUAAUUCCAGCUCCAAUAGCGUAUAUUAAAGUUGUUGCGGUUAAAACGUUCGUAGUUGAACUUGUGCUUCAUACGGGUAGUACAACUUACAAUUGUGGUUAGUACUAUACCUUUAUGUAUGUAAGCGUAUUACCGGUGGAGUUCUUAUAUGUGAUUAAAUACUUGUAUUUUUUCAUAUGUUCCUCCUAUUUAAAAACCUGCACUAGUGCUCUUAAACGAGUGUUAUUGUGGGCCGGUACUAUUACUUUGAACAAAUUAGAGUGCUUAAAGCAGGCUUCAAAUGCCUGAAUAUUCUGUGCAUGGGAUAAUGAAAUAAGACCUCUGUUCUGCUUUCAUUGGUUUUCAGAUCAAGAGGUAAUGAUUAAUAGAAGCAGUUUGGGGGCAUUAGUAUUACGACGCGAGAGGUGAAAUUCUUGGACCGUCGUAAGACUAACUUAAGCGAAAGCAUUUGCCAAAGAUGUUUUCAUUAAUCAAGAACGAAAGUUAGAGGUUCGAAGGCGAUCAGAUACCGCCCUAGUUCUAACCAUAAACGAUGCCAGCUAGCAAUUGGGUGUAGCUACUUUUAUGGCUCUCUCAGUCGCUUCCCGGGAAACCAAAGCUUUUGGGCUCCGGGGGAAGUAUGGUUGCAAAGCUGAAACUUAAAGGAAUUGACGGAAGGGCACCACCAGGAGUGGAGCCUGCGGCUUAAUUUGACUCAACACGGGAAAACUUACCAGGUCCGAACAUAAGUGUGUAAGACAGAUUGAUAGCUCUUUCUCGAAUCUAUGGGUGGUGGUGCAUGGCCGUUUUUAGUUCGUGGAGUGAUUUGUCUGGUU